rnacentral:rRNA from 1 species
GAUGAACGCUGGCGGCGUGCCUAAUACAUGCCAGUCGAGCGAACAGACGAGGAGCUUGCUCCUCUGACGUUAGCGGCGGACGGGUGAGUAACACGUGGAUAACCUACCUAUAAGACUGGGAUAACUUCGGGAAACCGGAGCUAAUACCGGAUAAUAUAUUGAACCGCAUGGUUCAAUAGUGAAAGACGGUUUUGCUGUCACUUAUAGAUGGAUCCGCGCCGCAUUAUCUAGUUGGUAAGGUAACGGCUUACCAAGGCAACGAUGCGUAGCCGACCUGAGAGGGUGAUCGGCCACCCUGGAACUGAACCAAGGUCAAGACUCCUACGGGACGCAGCAGUAGGGAAUCUUCCGCAAUGGGGGAAAGCUUGACGCAGCAGCGCCGCGUGAGUGAUGAAGGUCUUCGGAUCGUAAAAAUCUGUUAUUAGGGAAGAACAAAUGUGUACGUAACUAUGCACGUCUUGACGGUACCUAAUAAGAAAGCCACGGCUAACUACGUG